GCGGUGGGAUACUGUGUAUAUACGUAUGGGAUGAUGUAUUGUAUUGUGGAUGUUUGGAAGCUGCUGUAAUGUUCAUCUACUGGGUCUCUUUGUUGAUGACAAAGAGUUGGGCCGGGUCGGAGCUAAGGGUGUGGGUUGGAGGGAUUAGUUUAGGAAAUGGAAUUAGGCCCAUUUCUUGGCUGAAAAUAAGGUCAAAUGUGGAUAGGUUUUGCAAAUUAGGAAAUAGUCACAAGAAUUGCAAUUAUGGCCUAUGAAAAUUGACAAGU
rnacentral:lncRNA from 1 species